UACUUGUCUUUUGUUUUAAUAUUUUUUUCCCUUUGGGUCUCAUACGAUAUUUCUUUUAAUUUUUCCUACCUUUGGGGGUUUUGUUUAUUCCAUCCAGAGUGAACGCAUCGCCUUCUUCAUCCAAUCGGAUUUCUGCAAUCUACCGCUUCCUUCUCAUCGAUGUAUAUCAUCACCUACUACUUUCCUUCUUCAUUGUUGCACAAAAAAGCAGACAUGAUUCCUUUACCGCCUCAACCUACCUGCUCUAUCUACCAUCGAUAACGAACUCUAUCUACCACCGACAACGAACUGGAUACGUGUUCUCUUCUUAGACAACCACUGACACUUCUCUCAAUCCUCCCCACCGCCUAAUAUACCCAAUUCAGGUCCUUCCAAUUUGGGGGUAUUAACCCAUCUUCUUUCAUCUCCACCGACAUCAUCACAUAAUAACUCAAAGAGUUCGAAAAGCAUGAGUGACCUUGGUACCUGAAUCCAAGUUUAAGGAGUGUUGGCAACACUAGGUGUUCCCUUCCAGUUGAUGUGCUUAUAUCAUGUAAUCAGGAAUUCCAAUUAAAAAAGAAGACCAUGAAGGCAUCAAUUAUUUUUUUUAGAAUGUCCAACAUGUUGGUUCUAUUCCUAAGGAAGACAAUGACUCUAUCUCUGAACCCUUGGGUUUUGUGUGUCUUACUAUGUUUCAGCCAAGGAACCUAGGAAUGGAAUCACCAAUUCCAUGGAAUCAGGUAAUGAUGGGAGUCGAGCUUCAAGAAGUGGACAAGCAACCAUGAAUCUUUACACCUAUACCUAUCUUGAUGAGAAACCAAGAAUUAAAUUACAUACUAUGUUCUGAAACGUUUUUAUUUUAGUAGUUUCUUUAAUGAUAGGUCUCUCAUCUUUUUCAUUCCCGGAAAAUUAGAUGGAGAUUUGCAUUAUACAAGUGAUAAUGGUGUUGGUGAUUGCAGUUGCACCUGUUCUAUCUCUUCCUUCAUUCGUUACUCCUAAACCUUCUUAUUCGUCGUUGGUACGCUUAAUAGGUUUUUAGUAUAACUUAAAAUUUAGUUUUCUAAUCUAAUUUAACAGCAAUGGAUGUAUUGAUCUGUUUCUGGUGUUGGAUUAUUUAUGUUUCAUCAAAUUAAACAAAUUUUAUAAAUCAGGAAAAAAAUUCAUAAGUUACAUUGGUGUUUAAGUUCUCCUUUGCAAAAAUUGAUUGUUUUAAUGAAUUGUUGUGACGACUACACUUGACACCAGUUGUGGGGUACGUAUGUUUUUAUUUUCAAUUUUUUCUGAAUUCUUUUUAUUUGAUUUACGAUUUUUGAAAAUUCUGAUUUUUUAUUUUUUGGCGUUAUUUUUAGGUUGCAAGUUUUGGUCCUUACCUAUGGAAGAGAAAUGUGAUAGCACUUUCAUUUGCACACCAUGAAGCAGAAGUUCAAGUUUUGGUCCUUACCUAUGGAAGUGACAUGGCUCAUUGCUCCCGCUGCUUGACUCCAUGGGGUUCAAAUGAUGGAAAGUACAUUAUGGAAAUUGAUCGGGUUCUUAAACCGGGUACAAGAAAAUCGAAUCGUGUGCGAGUCCUGGAAGUGGAGGUGAUUAGGUGGCGUUUGUUGAACAACUUUAUGAUGCGGUCCCACCAAGCAUAGUUAACGGUUUGAUUCUGGUUCUGUCGGUUGAGAAAUAUAUGGAAGAUGGUAAACAAAUGGAAUAGACAUGGGGAUUGUUAUAAACGGAUGAAUAGAAUAAUUGAUUCCAUAAGGUAUCAGAAUGUAAUGGAUAUGAAUACAAGGAUUUGCAGUUGGAAUUCAUUCGUCCAAGUUGUGGGUUAUGAAUGUUGUUCCUACUUCUAUUGUGGCAAAUACUCUUGGAGUUUAUUUACAAGUGUGGCCUUAUCGGCAUAUAUCACAACGGAUAUAUAAUAUACAAACCUUUCAAAACUUAAAAUUUAUUAACUAAAAAUUGAUUAUUAAAUUAGAAAAGAAUUAAUUAAUUAAUAUUAAUAUUAUAUUCCAUGUGUCAAAUGUUUUCGAAGAAUGCAAAGAAGGUAUAGUAAGCACAUUGUUCGUAUUUAGCAGUUCCAUUCAUGGGUUUUUGCACGAAAGGGUUCUAAAAUGUAUGAAGGUUGAAAUUCUGCCCCCGCGGAUAAUCGGGAAAGUUAAAUAUGGUCGCCUGAGAUAAAAUUUAAUUAUUUUGUAAAGUCAAAAGACAGUGGCAUUUAAGUUACUGUCUGUUAUCAUUUCCAGCUUUAGUAGUAUUUGGAUUUACAUGUGAACAAAGUCUCUUUGAUUUCCUAUUUUUAGGACACAUAGUAAUGUUAUUGCUACAUCUAGAGACAAACUCUUACAGGCAACAACAACAAAAAAGAUUGGUAUGUGUUUGUUGUUCUACAAAAGGCUUUAGUUUCUUUAUUAACUAUAAUUUUUGAAUUGAGAUUCACUGUAAGUAAAGUUGGAGAAGUUAUUGGUAAAACUAGUUUGCUACUAACAUCUACAAACGAUCUGCAAUGAAGGUGUAAUAUAUUAAAUGCAUCGGGGUUUUCUUCUCCAUGUCUAAUUUUUAUAAGAUUUUGAAAGUAAUUUUGAUGCACACCAACUGCUCGAUAAAAUGCUUAAACCAAAUCUUAUUUCUUCUUUUUUAUUUGCAAACUCCAUAAAAUUUUCCAGGGUUGUUGUUUUGAUGCUCCAUAUCUUUCAACAGGUAAUCAAUUUCAUCAUCAAUAUAUUUGACCUGUUUUAUAUCUAUUGUGGUAGGUUGACAUUUGUUCUAUUAGUUCACAUAUAAAAAUUAUUUAGGAGAAAUGAUUAAAUAUUUGUUUUUGGCAUAUUUUAUAGGUGGUUGAAUCAAAAUUACUAAAAUUUGUCGAAACCAUCAUUGGUCCACAAAGGAUGAUAAAGGUGGUUAUGCUCUUAUCUUGGUUGCAUUUUCCAUUUCUAUUGUGUUCCAUGAGAGAUGUUCACUUUGGUGUUAAGUCAGUUUCUUCUUCGAUUCCAUUUGCUGUGCCAUUUCCCGGUGGUUAUGAAGAACUUCUUGAUGAGGUUGGAAUGUUGGAUUUCAACAACAUUGUUUGUUCUUUUUACAUACAUUCGUCGGUACAAAUUGUUUUGCACUCAGGUAUGACUGAACCUUAUUUGGGGUUUGAUCCUAAAGGCUUGAUUGUUCUUUACUGUGCUAAUUGCUAUUUUUUUUGUUUAGGCUCUCAUUUUGAAAAAAAAUGUUAGCACUUUUUUUUGUGUUUUUUUUGUAGCUUAUAUGUGGAGGAUUGUCUGGAUCUACUGCUUCUUUAUUUACAACCCUUUUUUGAUGUGGCGAAGAAAACAUCUCACACACAGCUUUUGACACUCUUAAAGAGAUAACCCAAGAUGAAAGACUAUAGAGUCCAUAUAAGUAAUAAUGAUAAAAUAAAUUUUACUUUUUUUCUUUCUUUCUGAAAAUAAUGGAAAGGAAUCAGGGGCUUAACUCCAAGAAUGGCCAUGUACAUGAGUUAGAGAGCACUAUAACAUUCAACUUUCAUUUUAAUUAUCUGUAACAUAUACAUUUUAUAUGCCGGUAACAAAUUUUUGACAAUUUAGGUUCACGUCUAUAUAUAGUUCAAAGAAUUACAGUCCUUACUUUUUGCACUAUUCUAUUUCGAAGAAAUCUGUAUCAGUAAGGAGUAGAAAUUUGUAUAUAUGUAAAAAACCAAUAAAAAAAGUUAUCCGUGGUUCAUCACGGGCUACCUUCCGGCCCCCGCAACGUGGGGGAUCUUUUGUAGUUAUUAUUAUUAUUAUUAUUAUUAUUAUUAUUAUUAUUAUUAAUCUAAAAAAAUAUAUAAAAAAACAUUAACUAAUAAUACAAUCCCAAAGCAAACAUUUAACAUUUAAAGAACACUAAAAAUAAAAAAAUAUAUUAUAAAACCCAAAACCAAACAUUAACAUUACAAUACCAAAAACUAUCAAAUCAUCCAAAAACAUAGAUAUCAAUGUUUAUCAAAUCGUCCAAAAACAUCAAAUAUUAAAAUUUACCAUAGCAUCCAAAAAGAUCAUAUUUUCCUAAUGUAUUUUUUGAUGUUUGGCUUCCAUUUUUUGCAACUUUAGCCUCUAUUUACCCACACAUCUCUUCUCGUAUAUAUUCAUACACAGUC